GACAGAGGUGCCGAGCGUUAGGCGGAAUCACUGGGCUUAAAGCGUGUGUAGGCGGGCGGGCAAGUACCUUGUGAAAUCCCACGGCUCAACCGUGGAACGGCUGGGUAUACUGCCUGUCUUGAGCCAACUAGGGGCGAGCGGAACAGACGGUGGAGCGGUGAAAUGCGUAGAUAUCGUCUGGAACGCCGAAGGUGAAAACAGCUCGCUGGGGUUGUGACUGACGCUGGAGACACGAAAGCCAGGGGAGCGAACGGG
rnacentral:rRNA from 1 species